rnacentral:rRNA from 1 species
UACGUAGGGUGCAAGCGUUAAUCGGAAUUACUGGGCGUAAAGCGUGCGCAGGCGGUUUUGUAAGUCUGUCGUGAAAUCCCCCGGGCUCAACCUGGGAAUUGCGAUGGAGACUGCAAGGCUAGAAUCUGGCAGAGGGGGGUAGAAUUCCACGUGUAGCAGUGAAAUGCGUAGAGAUGUGGGAGGAACACCGAUGGCGAAGGCAGCCCCCUGG